rnacentral:rRNA from 1 species
AGUGAACGCUGGCGGUAGGCCUAACACAUGCAAGUCGAACGGCAGCACCGUAAGCGCUUGCUCUUACGGGUGGCGGGUGGCGGGCGGGUGAGGUGUAUAUCGGAAUCUUCUUUUUCGUGGGGCUUCACGUAGCGAAGCUUACGAUCGUAUCGCAUCCGACCUUCGGGUGAAAGCAGGGGAUCUUUGGACCUUUCGCGAUUGGAUGCGCGGCUGUCGGAUUUGCUAGUUGGCGGGGUAAUGGCCCACCAUGGCGACGAUACGUAGCUGGACUGAGAGGAUGAUCAGCCACACGGGAACUGAGACACGGUCCAGGGGACUACGGGAGGCACCAGUGGGGAAUAUUGGACAAUGGGCGCAAACCUGAUCCAGCCAGACCGCGUCGGAGAAGAAGGCCUUCGGGUUGUAAAGCCCGUUUGUGGGGAAAGAAAAGCAGCAGGUUAAUACCCCGCUGUUCUGACGGUACCCAAAAAAUAAGCACCGGCUAACUUCGUG